AAAUAAUAGAUAUAUCAAAUGUAUUUAUACACUCCGUAUUAGUAUUUUAAAAUUUCUCUGGUGUAAAUGUACAAAUCUAACCGGUUGGAGAAGCCAAUUGCUAGUUGCUUCAACAACGAGUCCUUAAGCAGAGUCUUUAGUUUGCAUACAUACGAAUCAGUAUGUAUGUAAUUUGACUGACAACUAAGAUGAAAGUUAAAAGGCUAUAUUAGCUGGGGAUGGAGGAGAUUAAGUAGAGGACUGGUCAUCAGAUUCAGCCUUUUCUUCUAGAGCUGGCUCAACUCAACCGUCGGAGGUGGGAGAGAGAGAGAGAGAGUGCGUGAAAUGAAAUUAGGAUUGAAGAGAACCGACAGCAUGAUUGUUGUCGGGCAGCGUGGGAAACAAUAAUUGGGUUUGCCUGCUGCGUUACGAGGCUCAAUGGCUUCCCUACUCCUCUACUCCUUGGCCCCUGCAUAUCAAAGAUUCUGUCAUCAUCUGUCACCGGAUUUUUCGGUUCUGUAAUCUCUGCUCCUCCCUUUGAUUUUGCUCCUCUCUUUUGUCCCCUCUACAUAUGUACGACGUGUAUAUCCAUCCCCUUGUUGUGUUAUUAUUAUAUUUGCCACGAAGAAAACGUUCUCCAAUAGUAUUCAUACAUUAUUUAUAUUGGCAACUAAGAAAACGUUCUCAAAUAGUAUUCAUCCUAUUUGAUUUACACAUAAAAAUACUGUAGCCUUGCACAACGGAACUUCGUACUGAGAGGGAGGGAAUCGAGCAGCUUGCUUCACCCCACACUUGUCUUACUCCAAGAAACUGAACAGACGUAGGCGCAGACUCUGGCGCUGUGCUAGCUACGGCGAGAACUUGGACUACUGCUGACAGACAAGACUCGUUUCUGGAAAAUGUGACAACGCGGAACACACGUGUCUAUCACUAAUAGGUUAUUGCCUUUACCAUCCAAGCAGCGGCUCCAGUCCAGCCCACGGUAAGAAUCAGCCCAAGUCAAGAGAGAGAUACACUCAGCCUCACAGGGUCCGAGAUUCUGAUUCUCUCUUCCCUGUAUGCAUCUGUUUCAGGUUUUGACGGUCUUCGUGAGGCUGACUAUAAUAAGAGGGAGCCCCCCCCCCCCCCCCCCCCCCCCCCCAAGCUCUUUAGCUUCUUCCCUCAAUUUGCUCUCUACUAUCGUUUAUUUGUGGCGCAAUGGCAAAUAUGCCUUUAAUUAAUUAAUUAAUUAAUUAAUUAAUGGGAAAGACUACAGAGCAUUUUGUUUUUGGUAGUAUAAGUGACAUAGACAGUACAAUGUUGUUCAAUUGCAAUUACUCUCCAAAUUCAAAGUUUUUUUACAUUUAAAAAAGAAAAAGAAAAAAGCAAGAGACAAAUAGAGGUCAACAAUUUGUGUUCCCUAGUUAUAAGUUACUUCUUGCAUUUACAGAGGUAUUUAUUCUACAAAUGGGUUAACUUUGAAAACAAGCAUUUUCACUUUUGAUUCCCAGAUUUGAAACGUUUCUCUCUUCAGGGUUCAAUCAGAAUAAAUCAAAUCAAUCACAAUCACAUUGAUGCGUUAAGAAAAUAGUCCUCUAUGGCGGUGGACGGUUUGACUAAUUGACCAUGAUUCGUGGGGCUUACUUACGCAGGCCACAUCUUUAACAGUACAGAUUCUGUAACAUACAUCCCCCACUCCAUACACUCCACGUGUCCCCGCAUUGAAAAUAAAGAGAGGAAAUGGCACCCUUCGGGGGCUGGCUAACCUGGUCUGUAUGUUACAGAAUCUGUAUCGUAGCCAGCUCCCAUUGUCGGUUUUUCUUUCACUAUUUCCGUAUUUUUAUGGGGUUACGAAUUUAUGACUGAGCUCAAUAAUUUCCCCGUGCAUUGAAUAAUUAAUUCAGUGUAAUUAUUCAAUGUUCAGUAAAACCUUAACUUAGUACUGCAUUGAAAUAUAUAUAUAUAUAUAUAUAUAUAUUUAUAGCAACACACCUAACAACCGUAAAUAAUGUGAAUGAGGUUACUUUUAAGUUGAUCUACAUUGAAAAUAUUAUAGAUUUAACAAAAGAAUAUAAGUAUUAGCAACUUCUAUA
rnacentral:lncRNA from 1 species